rnacentral:tRNA from 1 species
GGCCGUCUGGUGGAAUGGUAUACACAGGAGAUUUAAAAUCUCCCGAUCGCAAUGAUCAUCCGGGUUCGAGUCCCGGGGCGGCUACCA